AGCUCGAUGAUCGAUGCCAAUUUUGUUUGGUCAUAUACGCUAUUCUGAAUAUUUAAUUGACUUGACUGUAGAUAGACAUUAUAUGAGAGCU